rnacentral:rRNA from 1 species
UACGUAGGGGGGCAAGCGUUGUCCGGAUUUAUUGGGCGUAAAGAGCUCGUAGGUGGUUCGGUAAGUCGGAUGUGAAAUCUCCAGGCUCAACCUGGAGGGGUCAUUCGAUACUGCCGUGACUAGAGGUCGGUAGGGGAGUGUGGAAUUCCUGGUGGAGCGGUGAAAUGCGCAGAUAUCAGGAGGAACACCCGUAGCGAAGGCGGCACUCUGGGCCGAUUCUGACACUGAGGAGCGAAAGCGUGGGGAGCGAACAGG